AGUGAAAUUGCUGGGUCUUAUUAUAACUUUAUAUUUGAUAUGUUGAGGAAUUUCCAAACUGUUUUUCCAGUUACUGUACCAUUUUAUAUUCCUACUAGCAAU
rnacentral:pre_miRNA from 1 species